rnacentral:tRNA from 1 species
GCCGAAGUGGUGGAAUUUGGCAGACACGCUGUCCUCAGGAGGCAGUGGGCUCGCGCCCGUGCCGGUUCGAAUCCGGCCUUCGGCACCA